UCAUUUACAUAAAUUAAUCUUAAUCUACAUCCAUUUAAGGGAGAAAAAAAGAAGGGGGGGAUAUUUGGAUUUAUUACGGGGAAAAUGAGCGAUUUUGGUCACCAGCACACCGUCGCCGGAGUCAUUCACCACCACCGGAGUUACCCACUUGGAGCUGUUAUGGCUGCAAUUAAUUACUUGGCAAAUUGAAUGCCCGGACAUCCUCUGCGGCCAGCACCAAAUGGAAUGAACUCAUGAUGGAGCCCUUUAUAGUCAAUUGGACUGUUCAAGAACCUCUCAGGUUUGAAAUUAUCUGGUUCUUCCCACACUGCAGGAUCUUUUGCUAUCGCCCAAGCAUUUACAACCACCAUUGUACGUGCUGCAAUGUCAAACCCCAUAAGUUUGACAUCUUGAGUGGUUUCUCGCUGAAUAAGUAGCGGGACCGAAAGAUGCAACCGGAGCGUCUCUUUGAUGACAGCCUUGAGAUUUUUUCAGCUACUUCUGCAGACGAGGCUACAAGCAUCGGCACGCUACCAAGAUGAAUCAGCAUAAGUGGACCAUGUUUCUUGGCCAAGUCCAAGAGAGAGUGAUGGAGGAUUGCUCCUAGCUGGUGGAGAUUUCCAAUGAAUGGGAGCUUCCACGGAGAUGGUGGUAAAAAAAUGUUUGUAGAAAGGAUGUAUGGGAAAUUGAUGAGACAUGCUGAGUGUUUGUGGGAAGGACAACCCGAACUGACGCGGACAUUCUAAGGAUCUCUUGCUAUCGCCCAAGCAUUUACAACCACCGGUGUACGUGCUGCAAUAUCAUACCCCAUAAGUUUCACAUCUUGAGUGGUUUCUCGCUGAACAAGUAGUGGGAGUGGAAGAUGGAACCGAAGCGUCUCUUUGAUGACAGCCUUAAGCUUUGAUGGAAUCUUUAUCAACGAUGAAGCCACCUGCAUUUUCUUUCUGGACAUCAAGCAAGAUGUCUACUAAAUCUUGACCUUCAUCGCUUCCGCAAACUGAAUCAUUUGUCUCCCUUCUUUGAGUUAUAUGUUCUUCAAUCACACCCUCAAGAAACUCAUCCAACUCUCUACAAACUUCGUUUGUUCUGUAAUUUAAAGCACUCAAACGAUCAACCCAUGACAACAAUGGAAUAUAACUCCCAAUGCUAAGAACUCCUAAUAGACCCAUCAUUCGUGCCAGCAAGUUCUUAAACUUUAAGCCAUGAUACGUUUUACCCAAGGCCACCCUACAAAUCACAUUAUUUGUAAACGAAACUAUCAGCUCACUUAAAUUAACUAUAGAACCACAACUUUCUCCAAUUUCUUUCAUCAUCAAAGCCGUUUCUUCGUCCCUGACUUUUUUAAAUGAUAGAACUCGUUUAUUACUUAGAAGGUGGAGUACUGCAAUGCUUCUCAACUGUCUCCAAUACUCUCCAUAUGGAGAAAAUGCUAUAUCCUUGGAACCAUAGAAAAUUGCGUUAGGGAUUUUUAAAUGGGGUCUACUGCAAAAGACUAAAUCAUGGGUUUUCAAGAUUUUUUCAGCUACUUCUGCAGACGAGGCUACAAGCAUCGGCACGCUACCAAGAUGAAUCAUCAUAAGUGGACCAUGUUUCUUGGCCAAGUCCAAGAGAGACAGAUGGAGGCUCCCUCCUAGCUGGUGGAGAUUUCCAAUGAAUGGGAGCUUCCACGGGGAUGGUGGUAAGUUUCUUUUGUUUUUAGACUUGGAACUAAUCCACUUGAAUGAUAUCCAAAUCAAAAAAACAGAAAUUGAAAAAAUAAAAGGAGAUAUUUCUGUGUAUAGAAACAUUGCUACAAGCUUCUUUCUGCAAUUCUAUUAAAUGGCAAAUUAGUAA